rnacentral:lncRNA from 1 species
CCCUUCUCCAGGUGUUGUGCUCAUGGACAUCAGUCAGUGGGAUUGAUGGCACUGCCCAGCAGCCCCAGCUGGUUGUGGACACAGGGAUCAAACCCAUCAAAGCUCUGAAUAACACCAGGCUGGCACGGACUGGGAGCAUCUGAAGGACAGUAAUUGCAUGGAUUUUUCCCCUCUUUGGAGCCAUUUUUCAGAAAGAGGCAAGAAAUUGUUGUGCUGUGAGAAAACAGGAGCUGCCAUAUAUCAAACGAGUCCUGGCACCACGGGGCCUCUGUCCCACAGGACCUGGCUCUGGGAAUAA